CAGAUUCGCAGAAAUAUUAUAAAUAUAAAUAUAAAUAUAUAUAUAAAUAUAUAUAUAAAUAUAUAUAUAAAUAUAUAUAUAAAUAUAAAUAUAAAUAUAAAUAUAAAUAUAAAUUUAAAUUUAAAUAUAAAUAAAAGAGGAUAAUAAAUAUUGCAAAAUAGCAAAUAUAAUACGACAAUUAAAUAAAUUGUCUAAAUAUCGAUAUGAAUUUAAUUUUGGUUCUGAUUGAACGUUUUUCAGUAGUUUUAAGACAUGCAAAUCGUUGUUCCUAACAGUUUAUCUUUAUGUUUUAUACCCACGCCCGAAUUAGUCCUUGACUGAAUUCGGGCGUGCGUAUCCCUUUAACUCUUUCCUGCCCCCCCCCCCCCUUGCCGUAGGAAUGAGUCCUUUGCCCUCCCCCCCUGCCUUUUUCCAAUCAGCCAAAGGGCUGUUAGAAGGGGCAAAGGGUAGGAGAGCCAAGUACUCUUUUUCUGCGUAGCAGCUGGGGCAAAGGUUAGGAAGGAGGGGCAAAGAAAAAUAAAGAUAAAAAAAUAAGAAUAAGGUGUAAAGGUGAGUAUUUUAAAUUAGAUACCUUAUAGACUCCUUAAUUGGGAGAUAAUUUUAUUUCUAUAAUCCUCACCUCCGUAUUCAUUCUACUUAUGAAUGGUUACUCCAGAGGAUAGAGAUGAUUAGAGAUACUUAUUAGGGUAAUAUCACAGUCAGUAGUCCGCAUCUGCUAGUCUGUUCUCAUUACUGGUUUUAUUCCCCUGCAGUAGGAGAGGGUCCUUCGGCUCACUCCUACGGGUUGUAUACCAUCCUUCGGCAGGAUACAAUAAAAGGGUAAUAAGGGGGAGUCCGUAUGAGUAGCGUCUUUUACGAAGGAAUCGCUACAUAUGAAUCCUUGUAAUUUCAUCCUAAUAAGGAAAGUAAAAUAUAAAUUAGCUAUUUAUAAAAAAAAGGGAAAUUUUCUGCUAUAAGAUUCGAUUUAUUUUGUUUAAAGGUAGUUGGUAGGGUAAAUGCCUACCAAGCCGAUGAUCAAUAGCCAUGCUUUUUUUAAUAAAUAUCCUAUUCUAGGUAAUAAACACUUAGAUUAUCAAGAUUGGUGUAAAAUUGCUAAUUUAAUAACUUUAGGUUUGCAUACUACAAAUGAAGGGUUUGAAGAAAUUCGGCAAAUAGAAUCUGGAAUGAACAAAGGCAGAAAAAAAUAGAUAUAUAUAAUUGCAUGAUAAAUUUGAUGAACCAUGGGUGCCAGAAGACUCGGUAAGGCCAGAGACGCGAACGUUAGUCGUCCUAAUCAGGCGUAAAGGGUGUGUAGGCUGCUUUCAAAAUCAUAUCUUUCAAAUAGCUCUUAUAACGAAGAUCUGUUUAAAGACAAUAUAUAGAAUGAAAAAAUAAAUAUUUUUCUCCUUCCGCAGGUAACCGUAGUUAAACAAACAAUAAAAAUAAAAACUUAAUUAAUAUCUUAAAAAAUAAUAGGAUUAUACUGAUUUAGUGCUUGAGCCGUAUGCGGUGAAAGUCGCACGUACGGUUCUUAGCGGGGGAAAGUUUGAGAAAACCUACCUAUCGCAACUAGAUACCCAGAUACCUCUCACUGUCAACGAUGAAUGGUGGUUGUUAGUUUAUAGAGGAACUAGUAACGAUGCUAACGCGAUAACCAUUCCGCCUUGCGAGUACGGUUGCAAAACUGAAACCAAAAAAAUUAGUCGGUCUCGAAGCAAACGAAGUGAAGCAUGUUAUUUAAUACGAUAAUACGCGUAAAACCUUACCAGUUCUUGCAUAUCCAGUCCUUAAUCUUAAGUGGUUCUAAAUGUCAAUUUAGUCCUAUUUAAGGUUAAAGAUUGAGUAGUUUCUUGACCUCAAGAAACUCGUUUACAGGUGUUGCAUGGCUGUCGUAAGUCCGUGCCGUGAGAAGUGAGGUUAACUCCACUAACGGACGAAAUCCCUGUUGUUAAUUUAUACUUAACAAUUAAUGAAUUUGACAAUUUUUCAUUUGGGGCUAAGACAAGCCGUUAUGGCCCUCAUGAACUGGGCUAUCGACGUGCCACGAGAACUUUUACAAAGUGACGCCAAAACCUAACCUCUAUACUAAUGCAAUAUUUUAGUUAAUAUUUAAAAUAUAAUUUAUAUUUAUUCUAUUUUAAAUAAUAAGGUUUUAAGGAAUAGCUAAUCAUUAAAGAAAGUUAAAUAACCAAAUAUAUGGACGGAUUGCCGCCUGAAAUUCGGCGACAUGAAGAAGGAAUUUCGAGUAAUCGUUGAUCACUAGCGCAACGGUGAAGAAUGCAUUCGGGAUGAACUAACUGUCUGUCGCUGGGAAGAAGCUUGAAUUGGGGGAAACUGCCGCGAAGUUACUUUUUUUUUUAAGGCAAACCUAAUUUAAUAAUAUCAGCAAGCCCUCCGAAGGGCCGAAGGGGGCGUACUUAUGAAUCACGCCCCCACGGCCAAGGGUUAUUUAUUAUUAAGUUAAUUAAAUUUAAGGGU
rnacentral:rRNA from 1 species